rnacentral:rRNA from 1 species
UACGUAGGGGGCAAGCGUUGUCCGGAUUUAUUGGGCGUAAAGAGCUCGUAGGCGGUCUGUUGCGUCGGCUGUGAAAACCCGGGGCUCAACCCCGGGCCUGCAGCCGAUACGGGCAGACUAGAGUUCGGCAGGGGAGACUGGAAUUCCUGGUGUAGCGGUGAAAUGCGCAGAUAUCAGGAAGAACACCCGUGGCGAAGGCGGCUCUCUGGGACGGUACUGACGCUGAGACGCGAAAGCGUGGGGAGCGAACAGG